GGCUGGAGUUGUUUCCAUCUGCAACCUGCCCUUGCCAGUGAGGGGAUGAUGAUAUUUCUUGAGACUGAUAGCUACCAGGAUAUCCCCACCCUUUUCUUCUAUUAUUAUACUGGCUACCUGCUGCCAUCUUCCCUAAAGGUGAUCCAUGACAACUACCCCUUGAUGGUGAUGAAGGGCCAUAAUUUCCUGGAGAACCAGCAGAGAUCUGACUAUACAUGCUAGGAGGAGUAAACUGUGAUGGGCUCGUCCCAAGAGACAUAGGAACAAAAUUUCCUGGGCUGACACCAAGCCCAUUCCCAGGAGGGAGCGAACUUGUAACAUUAUGCGCAUUAGAGUAACCAACACUCACACUGCUUGAACCUUGCUGUCUGGGAUUUGAGUUACUGUGUAGAUGCAAUAGAGAGCCACCAAAGACAGGAGAAUUGGCUUGGCUGGAGUUGUUUCCAUCUGCAACCUGCCCUUGCCAGUGAGGGGAUGAUGAUAUUUCUUGAGACUGAUAGCUACCAGGAUAUCCCCACCCUUUUCUUCUAUUAUUAUACUGGCUACCUGCUGCCAUCUUCCCUAAAGGUGAUCCAUGACAACUACCCCUUGAUGGUGAUGAAGGGCCAUAAUUUCCUGGAGAACCAGCAGAGAUCUGACUAUACAUGCUAGGAGGAGUAAACUGUGAUGGGCUCGUCCCAAGAGACAUAGGAACAAAAUUUCCUGG
rnacentral:lncRNA from 1 species